rnacentral:rRNA from 1 species
CGGGACACGUGGUAUCCUGUCUGAAUAUGGGGGGACCAUCCUCCAAGGCUAAAUACUCCUGACUGACCGAUAGUGAACCAGUACCGUGAGGGAAAGGCGAAAAGAACCCCGGCGAGGGGAGUGAAAAAGAACCUGAAACCGUGUACGUACAAGCAGUGGGAGCACGCUUCGGCGUGUGACUGCGUACCUUUUGUAUAAUGGGUCAGCGACUUAUAUUCUGUAGCAAGGUUAACCGAAUAGGGGAGCCGAAGGGAAACCGAGUCUUAACUGGGCGUUAAGUUGCAGGGUAUAGACCCGAAACCCGGUGAUCUAGCCAUGGGCAGGUUGAAGGUUGGGUAACACUAACUGGAGGACCGAACCGACUAAUGUUGAAAAAUUAGCGGAUGACUUGUGGCUGGGGGUGAAAGGCCAAUCAAACCGGGAGAUAGCUGGUUCUCCCCGAAAGCUAUUUAGGUAGCGCCUCGUGAAUUCAUCUCCGGGGGUAGAGCACUGUUUCGGCAAGGGGGUCAUCCCGACUUACCAACCCGAUGCAAACUGCGAAUACCGGAGAAUGUUAUCACGGGAGACACACGGCGGGUGCUAACGUCCGUCGUGAAGAGGGAAACAACCCAGACCGCCAGCUAAGGUCCCAAAGUCAUGGUUAAGUGGGAAACGAUGUGGGAAGGCCCAGACAGCCAGGAUGUUGGCUUAGAAGCAGCCAUCAUUUAAAGAAAGCGUAAUAGCUCACUGGUCGAGUCGGCCUGCGCGGAAGAUGUAACGGGGCUAAACCAUGCACCGAAGCUGCGGCAGCGACACUAUGUGUUGUUGGGUAGGGGAGCGUUCUGUAAGCCUGUGAAGGUGUACUGUGAGGUAUGCUGGAGGUAUCAGAAGUGCGAAUGCUGACAUAAGUAACGAUAAAGCGGGUGAAAAGCCCGCUCGCCGGAAGACCAAGGGUUCCUGUCCAACGUUAAUCGGGGCAGGGUGAGUCGACCCCUAAGGCGAGGCCGAAAGGCGUAGUCGAUGGGAAACAGGUUAAUAUUCCUGUACUUGGUGUUACUGCGAAGGGGGGACGGAGAAGGCUAUGUUGGCCGGGCGACGGUUGUCCCGGUUUAAGCGUGUAGGCUGG